GAAUGUAGAUCGACGGUAAUACAUCUUCGAGUGACCAUAAAUAACUAGCACAUCUCCUCAUUGGAGGAGGCAGCCAUAAGGAAAGGAAGGAAGUGACAAUAAAUAUAUAAUACACAUGCCCGUGUUAUUUUGUGCCUCGCGAUUCCGACAUGUAGAACAAACAUCUGUACAUUGAAUUUGCAUGGUUAAAGUCGAUUUAUCUAUUUACUUCAUCAGUCAAUGGCGAUGAAAUAGAUGCGAUGUCAUGAAUAAGCUAAUAAACGUACAUUACACUUAUUAUGAACGCCGGAGUAGGCGCGUCAUAUAUCUGAGACAACCAAAAUCAACGCUUUUCAAAUGAAGAAGAAAAUCGCGCGAUCAUUCCCAUGUUAAUAAUGACCAACUAAAUUUCGCUUUGUGCAAGACUAUACCUUUUACUGUAUCAUCACGACUAAAUGGAUUUCUCGUACGUUAUUGGGAACAUGGUAAUGCGAGAUCUGUUACGCAACAUGCACGAUACAUGGUCCGUGAACCGGGAUAAAAGGAACGUGAAACCCUGUGGCAGCCGGUUUAAAUCUUUGGUAUGGUCUCGCGCUGACCUUUGCGACGACCAAAUCGAACGAGCCAAAAAGAAACGAGAUAAAGGGAUACUGAACGUUGGAAUCUAUCUAUGUUUCUGCGCCUGACAGGACUAAAAGCUGGACCGUUUGUUCUUUACGUAUAAAGUUAUUGAAUUUUUGAGUAUCUAAGUCGAAAUUGCACGACGACCGCACCGUGGGCUACAGACGAUUGUGCAAAGUGGAUAAAGAAGGGGAAGUCGGGUUCCUUACUCCAAGCACCUCCGGCUCUUUUAAAGACACUUCCACUUUAAUUAUACGAAACCGCGUCAGUGAUGUUACGAUAUUACGAUAUUACGAUAUUACGAUAUUACGACGGGGCAUAAGCCAAGAGUUGAAGAUUUAGGGCUCUGAAAAGUUUGAACUGUGCAUCCCUCGGAGGAAACCCCUUAACUACCCUCUGUACGAGAGUACAGAGUAUGAAUGUGUAUCAUCAAAGGGAGCACUUGAAAGAUUUUGUCGGAACGUUAGGUGUCACUGUUUUCUUUAAAAAUUGGAGGAGACGUGUAUGUAUCGAUGCAACGAAUUCAUGAAGGACACGUAAGGCAAUCUAGCGACAGUUUGUAAUGCGAAGAUUAACCAACCCGAAAUUCACUCGUAUUCGGCGUAAUCAGUUAUCAGAAUUAUUAGUUUCUAUUGUCUUGGAGGGUAAAAAUUCUUUUCCGAUUUUAUGGCGCGGAAAGCCGAUAUAAUAAGGAUCCGAGUCGACCUGAGCCAGACAGCCUCGAACCUAGCUGGGAGUAACGAGGGAACACGAGUGGCUAAACGUCAGGAGGGUACACGAGACGAGAGUAACGGGCUUUUGCUUUCUGGGGUGUUAAGGGAAUCGGAUGAGCAGUGGAGGUAUGAAGGUGGAAGGUGGAAGGCGGUAGGCGGGGGGAGGGGCCCUACGGCAAGAUACAGUUAUCAGGCUCCCAGUAGUCUCUAACAUCUCCGAAUUACCUUUCCACGGUGGCAGUAACAAGAAGUUUGCAUUAAAUUUGUUUUCGUGUACAUACAAUCACAAGACGCAUUCAUUGCCUAUUCCAUAAUUUUAAUAAAUUAUAUACUCCGAACUAUAAUGGUUGUGUAUAACUCACGUCUAUUGCGCGAUAUAAGUAAUAUAAUUUAAAUUUGUAUUCUCUAAGACGAAGUCAAAAAACCAUGACAAAAAAAUGCGUCGUAAAAAAUAUUGUAUAUAAGUAUACAUAUAUGAAAGGCACGUGUGCCAAGAAAUGGAAACUUUGUAGAGGGACGCCAAUGUCGUUUCUUUUCUACAUCUAUAAGUUCGACAACCAUAUAUGUAUACUGUAAAGAUAACGUAUUUCCAAAGGAA